GGAGAGAGAGAGUAUCCAAGGGAUCAAAAUUUAACUUAACUAUCCGAUGGACUACUAGUUGGGGGUGUCUAUAACUUUAUAUCAUCGAAUAGAAUGUAUAGAAAUAAUCCAUUCGAGAAUUAGAGUAGUAUAUCAAAAUAUAUUCUUCCAUAAAAGUUUAUGCUUGAGAUGCAUUAAUUACUUUAAUUUUACUAUUUUAAUUAAUUUAGUUCUAAAAUUAUUAAUAACAUUUUAUUUUUCUUCGUUAUAGGAUCUAGGAUAUUUUGCUCAUCCACCUGCUGUUGCAGAGGAUGUACAGGAGAAGGAGGAGGAAGAUCUUCAUUGAUGUUUUUAGUUUUGAUGUAAUAUAUUUGAUAUUUGAGUAAUAUUAUUUAUAUAAUUAAUUUUAAUAUAAUAUAUAAUAUUAAUUUUUUAUUUGUGAUGGUGAUAGUUAAUCGUUAGUUGUUAUAAUAUCCAUAAAUAUAUGUUGGUUUUUAAUUUAGUUAUAAUAUAUUUUAAUAAAUAUAAUUACUUGUUAAUUAAAUUAUAAUAUAUCUUAAUAAAUAUAAUUAUUGAAAUUUUUUUAAAAAAUUAUGAUUAGCGAUGGCUGUUGCGAU
rnacentral:lncRNA from 1 species